rnacentral:rRNA from 1 species
AGGACGAACGCUGGCGGCGCGCCUAACACAUGCAAGUCGAGCGUGAACCCCGGGCUUGCCCGGGGGGAAAGCGGCGAACGGGUGCGUAACACGUGAGCAACCUGCCCCGAAGACUGGGAUAACCCGAGGAAACUCGGGCUAAUACCGGAUGCCCUCACCGAGUCGCAUGGCUUGGCGAGGAAAUGGAUUCCGCUUCGGGAUGGGCUCGCGGUCUAUCAGCUUGUUGGUGGGUAACGCCUACCAAGGCGACGACGGAUAGCUGGUCUGAGGGGACGAUCAGCCACACUGGGACUGAGACACGGCCCAGACUCCUACGGGAGGCAGCAGUGGGGAAUCGUUGCGCAAGUGGGGAAACCCUGACGCAGCGACGCCGCGUGCGGGAUGAAGGCCUUCGGGUCGUAAACCGCUUCGAGCGAGGACGAAAGUUCGACGGUACCU